rnacentral:rRNA from 1 species
CCUACGGGUGGCAGCAGUGAGGAAUAUUGGUCAAUGGGCGCGAGCCUGAACCAGCCAAGUCGCGUGAGGGAGGACGGCCCUACGGGUUGUAAACCUCUUUUGCCGGGGAGCAACGGGCGUCACGUGUGGCGCCACUGAGAGUACCCGGAGAAAAAGCAUCGGCUAACUCCGUGCCAGCCGCCGCGGUAAUACGGAGGAUGCGAGCGUUAUCCGGAUUUAUUGGGUUUAAAGGUGUCGUAGGCGGAUCGUUAAGUCAGUGGUCAAAUUGCGGGGCUCAACCCCUUCCCGCCAUUGAAACUGGCGCUAUUGAGUGGAAGAGAAGUAUGCGGAAUGCGUGGUGGAGCGGUGAAAUGCAUAGAGAUCACGCAGAACCCCGAUUGCGAAGGCAGCAUGCCGGCUUCCGACUGACGCUGAAGCACGAAAGCGUGGGGAUCGAACAGGAUUAGAGACCCCUGUAGUC